AUUGGUUCCACAGCCAGACUGGUAUGGCCCUCCACACCGCGUAUACACAGCGGUGAACUGAACCAAAUGCCUUUG